rnacentral:lncRNA from 1 species
CCGCCGCCGGUAAGCUCCGUUUUUCCGUGAUUUUUUGGCCCCCCGAGGGCCCUAGGGUUGUUUUCUCACAGGGACCGAUGCGAGUGUGGCCAAAUUCGGCCGAAAACAGCCGAAAGCAGCCAACCCGAGGCGACUCGCCGCCGUGCCGGAGUUGCGAUUUGGGCCGAAAGAGGCCCUGGGCCUAAUUUGGGUUUUUUUGGAACACGUGCAGGUACCGUUAGUGUGUUUCAGUUCUCCGGAAAAAAUUUAGGAAAAAUUAGGGACGGCCUGUAGGCGCACUGUGAAUCGUAUUCGGAUCCCGAAAACAAGUAAGGACCCCUCACCCUAUUUCCUAUCACGG